rnacentral:rRNA from 1 species
GAGCACGUAGGUGGGUUUGUAAGUCAGAUGUGAAAGCCUUCUGUUCAACGGGAGAAUUGCAUCUGAAACUACAGACCUUGAGUAUAGGAGGGGAGAGUGGAACUUCUGGUGGAGCGGUGAAAUGCGUAGAUAUCAGAAGGAACGCCGGCGGCGAAAGCGAUUCUCUGGCCUAUUACUGACACUCAGUGUGCGAAAGCUAGGGGAGCAAACGGGAUUAGAUACCCCGGUAGUCCUAGCCGUAAACGAUGGGCACUAAGUAGAGGGG